UAAAAGUCGUAACAAGGUCUCCGUAGGUGAACCUGCGGAGGGAUCAUUACAAGUACACUACCGGCCUAACCCGCCGGCUAUGUAUAACCCUUUGUUGUCCGACUCUGUUGCCUCCGGGGCGACCCUGCCUUCGGGCGGGGGCCCCGGGUGGACACUUCAAACUCUUGCGUAACUUUGCAGUCUGAGUAAAUUUAAUUAAUAAAUUAAAACUUUCAACAACGGAUCUCUUGGUUCUGGCAUCGAUGAAGAACGCAGCGAAAUGCGAUAAGUAAUGUGAAUUGCAGAAUUCAGUGAAUCAUCGAAUCUUUGAACGCACAUUGCGCCCCCUGGUAUUCCGGGGGGCAUGCCUGUUCGAGCGUCAUUUCACCACUCAAGCCUCGCUUGGUAUUGGGCGACGCGGUCCGCCGCGCGCCUCAAAUCGACCGGCUGGGUCUUCUGUCCCCUCAGCGUUGUGGAAACUAUUCGCUAAAGGGUGCCCGGGAGGCUACGCCGUAAAACAACCCCAUUUCUAAGGUUGACCUCGGAUCAGGUAGGGAUACCCGCUGAACUUAAGCA
rnacentral:rRNA from 1 species